rnacentral:tRNA from 5 species
GCGGAUGUGGUGUAAUUGGUAGCCACGCCAGAAUCAGGAUCUGGUGCCGAUAAGGCAUGGGGGUUCGAGUCCCUUCAUCCGCA